CAGACACACUCUCUUUGUUUAAAUCUAGAUUAAAAACAUCUCUUUGGCCAAGCAUUCAAAUAAUGCAGCUAAUUAUGUCUCUAUUUUGUAACUAGGAUUUACACAAGCUCCAGUCUGGAUCCAUAACACCUGAGAAGAGAUGAUGCCAAUCCAUCAGACGACAUCAGAUGAUGCUAACCCUGAAACAACAUACAGAAGUACCAAAUUUUGCUCAACAACUGGGGUCUCUAAUGCUCAUGGCACAGCAGACUGUGAAGGCUCGACUGCAAAGGGAAGCAUCAGGUUGACCACUGCGAUUCUUUGGAGGACAGAUACCAGGAAGGUGCCUGGUCCCAUCUGCAUCAAGCCAAGACAGCAGAAUUGUUACAUUACCUGAAAUGUGGGAAAUGAAUGUGUAGACACUUGAAGGGGCCAUUCACACCUCACAGGAGAGCAUUACUACACAAAUAUCUAUAUGGCCUCCCGGAUUAGAACCGGAACAAAAUUUUUGCAACACAGAUUGCUAUAGAUUAGACUCCAUUCAUCUCCCAGACAUGAGCACAGAACACACACCUCCACCAUUGCAUAAUAACCUCAUAACAUAUCAGCAACAACUGGGGUCUCUAAUGCUCAUGGCACAGCAGACUGUGAAGGCUCGACUGCAAAGGGAAGCAUCAGGUUGACCACUGCGAUUCUUUGGAGGACAGAUACCAGGAAGGUGCCUGGUCCCAUCUGCAUCAAGCCAAGACAGCAGAAUUGUUACAUUACCUGAAAUGUGGGAAAUGAAUGUGUAGACACUUGAAGGGGCCAUUCACACCUCACAGGAGAGCAUUACUACACAAAUAUCUAUAUGGCCUCCCGGAUUAGAACCGGAACAAAAUUUUUGCAACACAGAUUGCUAUAGAUUAGACUCCAUUCAUCUCCCAGACAUGAGCACAGAACACACACCUCCACCAUUGCAUAAUAACCUCAUAUAGACUAUCCAGUCUGUACACUACACACAGAAGACAAUGAUGGCUUAGAUUACAAAUGUGGUACUCCACUAAAGAUCUAUUGUCCAUUUUCACAUUGACAGAACCACAUAGCCUCACACACACAGGACAACAAAAUUAAUCCCAUGCUAAAUAUAUGUGUGUGUGUGUGUGUGUGUGUGUGUGUGUGUCUGCAAACUCAUGGAACAACACUGUAACACACAUUUGCACGUCUAGUCACGGAUGGAUGGUGUAAAUUUUGAACACAAGCCUUUAAAAUUUAAACUAUUGAAUCUUUCGGAUUGUUAUUAGGGUGGUUGACAAGCCAGAGGGCCCCUGGUUUCCCAACACAUCACUAAUAAAAAAAAAAAUAAAUAAAAAAAAAACCUUAUC
ensembl:lncRNA